CUUCUCAGAGCAGUGCUUCCCCAAAUCUGGAAACUCCAUGUCAGACAGGUAUAUCGUACAGCCAGCAAUGUUUAUCCACAACCUGGUGACAGCCAGAAG